CUACGGGGGGCACCAGUGGGGAAUAUUGCACAAUGGGCGCAAGCCUGAUGCAGCCAUGCCGCGUGUAUGAAGAAGGCCUUCGGGUUGUAAAGUACUUUCAGCGGGGAGGAAGGGAGUAAAGUUAAUACCUUUGCUCAUUGACGUUACCCGCAGAAGAAGCACCGGCUAACUCCGUGCCAGCAGCCGCGGUAAUACGGAGGGUGCAAGCGUUAAUCGGAAUUACUGGGCGUAAAGCGCACGCAGGCGGUUUGUUAAGUCAGAUGUGAAAUCCCCGGGCUCAACCUGGGAACUGCAUCUGAUACUGGCAAGCUUGAGUCUCGUAGAGGGGGGUAGAAGUCCAGGUGUAGCGGUGAAAUGCGUAGAGAUCUGGAGGAAUACCGGUGGCGAAGGCGGCCCCCUGGACGAAGACUGACGCUCAGGUGCGAAAGCGUGGGGAGCAAACAGGAUUAGAUACCCUUGUAGUC
rnacentral:rRNA from 1 species